UUGAACGCUGGCGGCAUGCCUAACACAUGCAAGUCGAACGGUAACGCGGAGAGCUUGCUCUCUGGCGACGAGUGGCGGACGGGUGAGUAAUACUUAGGAAUCUGCCCAGUAGUGGGGGACAACAUUCGGAAACGGAUGCUAAUACCGCAUACGCACUACGGUGGAAAGUGGGGGAUCUUCGGACCUCACGCUAUUGGAUGAGCCUAAGUCGGAUUAGCUUGUUGGUGAGGUAAUGGCUCACCAAGGCGACGAUCCGUAGCUGGUCUGAGAGGACGAUCAGCCACACUGGAACUGAGACACGGUCCAGACUCCUACGGGAGGCAGCAGUGGGGAAUAUUGGACAAUGGGCGCAAGCCUGAUCCAGCAAUGCCGCGUGUGUGAAGAAGGCCUGCGGGUUGUAAAGCACUUUCAGUGGAGAAGAAAAGCUUACGGUUAAUACCCGUGAGUCUUGACGUAACCCACAGAAGAAGCACCGGCUAACUCCGUG
rnacentral:rRNA from 1 species